rnacentral:rRNA from 1 species
UACGUAGGGCGCAAGCGUUAUCCGGAAUUAUUGGGCGUAAAGAGCUCGUAGGCGGUUUGUCGCGUCUGCCGUGAAAGUCCGGGGCUCAACCCCGGAUCUGCGGUGGGUACGGGCAGACUAGAGUGAUGUAGGGGAGACUGGAAUUCCUGGUGUAGCGGUGAAAUGCGCAGAUAUCAGGAGGAACACCGGUGGCGAAGGCGGGUCUCUGGGACGGUAUUGACGCUAAGGCGCGAAAGCGUGGGGAGCAAACAGG